rnacentral:rRNA from 1 species
GACAGAGGGGGCAAGCGUUGUUCGGAAUUACUGGGCGUAAAGGGCGCGUAGGCGGCCUUCUAAGUCGAACGUGAAAUCCCCGGGCUCAACCCGGGAACUGCGUCCGAUACUGGAAGGCUUGAAUCCGGGAGAGGGAUGUGGGAUUCCAGGUGUAGCGGUGAAAUGCGUAGAUAUCGUGAGGAAGACCAGUUGCGAAGGCGGAUCUCUGGGCAGUUCCUGACACUGAGGCACGAAGGCCAGGGGAGCAAACGGG